CCCUGACAGACGCGCUGUGCGUCUGACACUAGCCUAGACAGGAGAUUCACAUG
rnacentral:sRNA from 12 species